rnacentral:rRNA from 1 species
AACGUAGGUGGCAAGCGUUAUCCGGAAUUACUGGGCGUAAAGGGUGUGCAGGCGGGGAAGCAAGUGGUGGAUGAAAUCUCCAGGCUUAACCUGGAGGGGUUAUGCCAGACUGCAUCUCUAGAGGACGAGAGAGGGGGGUGGAAUUCCGGGUGUAGUGGUGAAAUGCGUAGAGAUCCGGAGGAACCCCAGAGGCGAAGGCGGCCCCCUGGCUCGUACCUGACGCUCAGCCACGAAAGCAUGGGGAGCGAACGGG